GGCCCGGGCAGGCUCAGCCCCAGGACUCCUCUGUCGCUAGCGGUCUGGGGCAAACUGGAGCAGAGCGGGUCCCGGAGACAUAUGGCAUGUCGGCGAGGACCCGUGCCAACUCUCCACAUUCUUCGGUGGCAGCCUCUGCCAUCUGACGGCUGGGCCCCUGGGCUCAGUUUCCCCCCUUGGGCUCAGGCCCCUGAGGAGAGGCCCUUGGCACAGCUGAGGCCGGCCUGACCUUGAGGCCCUCAUUCCCCCUUCGCCAGCAUUUGGGGGUUCAGGGAGGCCUGAAAUGACCACCAACUCGUGGGGCAGCUUUCCCCAGGGGCUGAGCCAAGCCAGUCUCCUCAAGAGCUUAUUUUGGGGUGUCCUCCACCACCAGACCUGGGGGGCCCCAAACCUUGCCUGCCCCCAUUUAGUGAACAAGACUGCUUCUCUUCAGCUCGGCGACCUCGGACCAGCGUUUCCUUGUCCGCUCCUUUGAAGGAAAUGUUUGCGCAUCAAGCAUUUUCCCACAGCAGGGAGACAAUGUCCUGGCCUUUGCCAAAGAUCACAUGCUCUUGUCCUCAUCAUUCCUGUCGUCUGAAGGGCCAAAAUUUCUGGGCUAGAAUAGCUUCCUGAGCACAGAGUGAUUCGGGCACGAAGUGGGAAAACACCGGAAAAGGGAUCUCUGCUCCUGGGUCCCUGGCUUGCCUUGCCCUCCCCCUCCUCCUGCACACUGGGUCCUUGUCCAGGUCCUGCCAAUGGCCCCUCCCUUUGGAACUCACUUCAAAUGGAACCUUGUCUGCCCAUCAGGAAUCAUUAUUGCAAAGAAGCCCAGAGCCUUCAGGCUGUCCCUCCCAGGAUGGAACUGCUCUGCUCUGACCCUCUAAGGCCUCACGACCAGGCCUGGCCCUCGGUGGGCCUCUGUUUCCUCAUCUAUAAAACACUGACUCUAUUAGUCUCAGCCCCCAGGGAUAAUUGUG
rnacentral:lncRNA from 1 species